rnacentral:misc_RNA from 1 species
UUGAAUUAAACUUGGUUGGGUUGUUGCUGGCUCUCUGGAGCAUGUGCACGCUUGAUCAAAUGUUUUUAAACCACCUGUGCACACACUGUAGGCCUGAGAGAUAUUUCGAGGAAACUCGGUUUGAGAACUGCUGAAAAGCUGUUCUUGCAUUUUGGGUCUAUGUUUUAAACACAUCCUCUAUAAACAAGUAAUAGAAUGUUAAUUAUUGGCCUUUUGUGCCUUUAAACCUAAUA